rnacentral:rRNA from 1 species
UACGGAGGGUGCAAGCGUUAUCCGGAUUCACUGGGUUUAAAGGGUGCGUAGGAGGGCAGGUAAGUCAGUGGUGAAAUCUCUGGGCUUAACCCGGAAACUGCCAUUGAUACUAUCUGUCUUGAAUAUGGUGGAGGUCAGCGGAAUAUGUCAUGUAGCGGUGAAAUGCUUAGAUAUGACAUAGAACACCGAUAGCGAAGGCAGCUUGCUACACAAUAAUUGACGCUGAGGCACGAAAGCGUGGGGAUCAAACAGG